CUGUACAGGCACAUAGUCCAAAUUACAGUCCAGGACUCAUGGAGCAGAGACAGCAUAGGCAGCAAUGAUGUCUGUAUCUCCAUAUUGUUUUGCCAGAGUGCCUCAGUCCUGACCAGGAGGGACCACUUUCUAUGGAUGAGAGGAUGGUUCUGUCCUGGGUCCAUUCAAUCCUUGGCCUUG
ensembl:misc_RNA